ACGAUGAACCAGGCUGCCGCGGGAGACCGUAAGAAAGCCCGUUUAUCCGGGCAUACGGCCUUCCCGAGGAAAGUCCGGGCUCCGCAGGGCAUGAUGCCGGGUAACUCCCGGGCGGAGGGUAUGAAUCUUCCGGCUUAAGGCCGGCGGAUAUUUAUUGGCCUUCCGACAGAUAGCGCAACAGAAAGGAUACCGCCACCCAAGAGGUAAAAGGCUUGGCUUUUUGCGUUUGGGGGGUAAGGGUGAAAUGGCGGGGUAAGAGCCCGCCUCGGCGGCGGCAACGCCGCCGGAACGAUUCCGGUUCAGCCGGAAAACGGCAAGCCUCAUCAGGAGCAAAAUCAAGCGGCGCGAAGGGAGUUUCGGCUCCUUUGCCGGCGGCCCGCCGGUCAAGCGCGGGUAGAUUGCGGGGUCAGUCCCAAAGGUCAUCCGUAAGGUUCGGCCUAAGACAGAUGGUGGCCAGGGCCGCCUCCGGCGGCCAUACAGAACCCGGCUCAUGGUUCAUCGUUUUU
rnacentral:RNase_P_RNA from 1 species